UAAACAUCAGGUACCUUGCUUUGAGUUC
rnacentral:piRNA from 1 species